rnacentral:rRNA from 1 species
UACGAAGGGGGCUAGCGUUGCUCGGAAUCACUGGGCGUAAAGGGCGCGUAGGCGGCCGAUCAAGUCAGGGGUGAAAGCCUGUGGCUCAACCACAGAAUGGCCUUUGAUACUGUUCGGCUCGAGACCGGAAGAGGUUGGUGGAACUGCGAGUGUAGAGGUGAAAUUCGUAGAUAUUCGCAAGAACACCAGUGGCGAAGGCGGCUCACUGGCCCGGUACUGACGCUGAGGCACGAAAGCGUGGGGAGCAAACAGG